rnacentral:misc_RNA from 1 species
GAUGAAGAACGUAGCGAAAUGCGAUAAGUAAUGUGAAUUGCAGAAUUCAGUGAAUCAUCGAAUCUUUGAACGCACAUUGCGCCCGCCAGUAUUCUGGCGGGCAUGCCUGUUCGAGCGUCAUUACAACCCUCAGGCCCCCGGGCCUGGCGUUGGGGAUCGGCGGAAGCCCCCUGCGGGCACAACGCCGUCCCCCAAAUACAGUGGCGGUCCCGCCGCAGCUUCCAUUGCGUAGUAGCUAACACCUCGCAACUGGAGAGCGGCGCGGCCACGCCGUAAAACACCCAACUUCUGAACGUUGACCUCGAAUCAGGUAGGACUACCCGCUGAACUUAAGCAUAUCAAUAAGCGGAGGA